rnacentral:rRNA from 1 species
AGAUUGAACGCUGGCGGCAUGCUUUACACAUGCAAGUCGAACGGUAACAGGCCGCAAGGUGCUGACGAGUGGCGAACGGGUGAGUAAUGCAUCGGAACGUGCCCAGUCGGUGGGGGAUAACGCAGCGAAAGCUGUGCUAAUACCGCAUACGAUCUAUGGAUGAAAGCGGGGACCGAAGGCCUCGCGCGAUUGGAGCGGCCGAUGUCAGAUUAGCUAGGUUGGUAGGGUAAGGCCCACCGAAGGCGACGAUCGUGUAGCUUGGUCUGAGAGGACGACCAGCCACACUGGAACUGAGACACGGUCCAGACUCCUACGGGAGCAGUCGAGUGGGGUAAUUUUGGAACAAGUGGGCACAAGCC